UACGGGGGGGGCAAGCGUUGUUCGGAAUUACUGGGCGUAAAGGGCUCGUAGGUGGCCAACUAAGUCAGACGUGAAAUCCCCAGGCUCAACCUGGGAACUGCGUCCGAUACUGGAUGGCUUGAAUCCGGGAGAGGGAUGCAGAAUUCCAGGUGUAGCGGUGAAAUGCGUAGAUAUCUGGAGGAAUACCGGUGGCGAAGGCGGCAUCCUGGACCGGCAUUGACGCUGAGGAGCGAAAGCCAGGGGAGCAAACGGG
rnacentral:rRNA from 1 species